rnacentral:miRNA from 1 species
AUGUCAUAUCGUUGAUCUAACAACCUUCCAAUGGUAAUCUAGGCAUGUCUGAUCAUGAUUGGAGGGUGUUAGAUCAAUGAUAUGACAUGCGUACA